UACGAAGGGGGCUAGCGUUGCUCGGAAUUACUGGGCGUAAAGGGAGCGUAGGUGGAUAGUUUAGUCAGAGGUGAAAGCCCAGGGCUCAACCUUGGAAUUGCCUUUGAUACUGGCUGUCUUGAGUACGGAAGAGGUAUGUGGAACUCCGAGUGUAGAGGUGAAAUUCGUAGAUAUUCGGAAGAACACCAGUGGCGAAGGCGACAUACUGGUCCGUUACUGACACUGAGGCGCGAAAGCGUGGGGAGCAAACAGG
rnacentral:rRNA from 1 species